UACGAAGGGGGCUAGCGUUGCUCGGAAUCACUGGGCGUAAAGGGUGCGUAGGCGGGUCUUUAAGUCAGGGGUGAAAUCCUGGAGCUCAACUCCAGAACUGCCUUUGAUGCUGAAGAUCUUGAGUUCGGGAGAGGUGAGUGGAACUGCGAGUGUAGAGGUGAAAUUCGUAGAUAUUCGCAAGAACACCAGUGGCGAAGGCGGCUCACUGGCCCGAUACUGACGCUGAGGUGCGAAAGCGUGGGGAGCAAACAGG
rnacentral:rRNA from 1 species